rnacentral:rRNA from 1 species
UACGUAGGGUGCAAGCGUUGUCCGGAAUUAUUGGGCGUAAAGAGCUCGUAGGCGGUUUGUCGUGUCGGCUGUGAAAACCUGGGGCUCAACCCCGGGCCUGCAGCCGAUACGGGCAAACUAGAAUUCGGUAGGGGAGACUGGAAUUCCUGGUGUAGCAGUGAAAUGCGUAGAUAUCAAGAGGAACACCAGUGGCGAAGGCGAGUCCCUGGACGAUACCUGACACUGAGGCACGAAAGCCAAGGGAGCAAACAGG